CUCUCUCUGCGUCUCUGUCCAGAAGCUUCCCUUUCUUUUCUUUUUCUUUUCCAAUUUCAAGCUUUGAUUCCUUCUCCCAUAGUUGGAAUUUUUGGGUGCUAUUUGUAGCAAAUCGAAGAGCACGGCGAGCUCUACGUGUGAGUACCAACACUUUCAGUUUUGGUGCACUCUAGGGAGUUCGAAAUUCUAGGGUUCUUGGGCUCAAAUUGGGGGUUUUCAUUAAUUUGAGGAUAUGGAAAAGAGGUGGCGGACGACGGUCCACCAUAGGUUUAGAUGAGCUUGAAGACCCAUUCUAUUUUGUUAUCUUUUGUAUUAGACUCUAAUAUUUUGUAAAUGUAAUAUUAACUACCUUGUGAUACUUUAGUUUAAUUAGUAUAAUGUUGUAAGCUAUGGACUUUAAUUCUAGCUACAUUUUAUGGACUGUAAUUUGAUGUAACCAUUUUGGGAAUGUAGUAUAAUAUCUGAA